rnacentral:rRNA from 1 species
GAUGAACGCUGGCGGCGUGCUUAACACAUGCAAGUCGAACGAUGAAAGCGGGAGCUUGCUCCUGCUGGAUUAGUGGCGAACGGGUGAGUAACACGUGAGCAAUCUGCCCCGAACUCUGGGAUAAGCGUUGGAAACGACGUCUAAUACCGGAUACGACGCGCGAAGGCAUCUUCUGCGCGUGGAAAGAAUUUCGGUUCGGGAUGAGCUCGCGGCCUAUCAGCUAGUUGGUGAGGUAACGGCUCACCAAGGCGACGACGGGUAGCCGGCCUGAGAGGGUGACCGGCCACACUGGGACUGAGACACGGCCCAGACUCCUACGGGAGGCAGCAGAGGGGAAUAUUGCACAAUGGGCGAAAGCCUGAUGCAGCAACGCCGCGUGAGGGACGACGGCCUUCGGGUUGUAAACCUCUUUUAGUAGGGAAGAAGCGAAAGUGACGGUACCUGCAGAAAAAGCACCGGCUAACUACGUGCCAGCAGCCGCAGUAAGAC